UACGGAGGAUGCGAGCGUUAUCCGGAUUUAUUGGGUUUAAAGGGUGCGUAGGCGGGCUUUUAAGUCAGCGGUAAAAAUUCGGGGCUCAACCUCGUCGAGCCGUUGAAACUGGGUGCCUUGAGUGGGCGAGAAGUACGCGGAAUGCGUGGUGUAGCGGUGAAAUGCAUAGAUAUCACGCAGAACUCCGAUUGCGAAGGCAGCGUACCGGCGCCCAACUGACGCUGAAGCACGAAGGCGUGGGUAUCGAACAGG
rnacentral:rRNA from 1 species